rnacentral:rRNA from 1 species
GCGAGUGGCGAACGGGUGAGUAAUACAUCGGAACAUGUCCUGUAGUGGGGGAUAGCCCGGCGAAAGCCGGAUUAAUACCGCAUACGAUCUACGGAUGAAAGCGGGGGACCUUCGGGCCUCGCGCUAUAGGGUUGGCCGAUGGCUGAUUAGCUAGUUGGUGGGGUAAAGGCCUACCAAGGCGACGAUCAGUAGCUGGUCUGAGAGGACGACCAGCCACACUGGGACUGAGACACGGCCCAGACUCCUACGGGAGGCAGC